rnacentral:rRNA from 1 species
GACGAACGCUGGCGGCGUGCUUAACACAUGCAAGUCGAACGGAAAGGCCCUGCUUUUGUGGGGUGCUCGAGUGGCGAACGGGUGAGUAACACGUGAGUAACCUGCCCUUGACUUUGGGAUAACUUCAGGAAACUGGGGCUAAUACCGGAUAGGAGCUCCUGCUGCAUGGUGGGGGUUGGAAAGUUUCGGCGGUUGGGGAUGGACUCGCGGCUUAUCAGCUUGUUGGUGGGGUAGUGGCUUACCAAGGCUUUGACGGGUAGCCGGCCUGAGAGGGUGACCGGGGACAUUGGGACUGAGAGACGGCCCAGACGCCAACGGGAGGCAGCAGGGGGGAAUAUGGCACAAUGGGCGGAAGCCUGAGGCGGCGACGCCGCGUGCGGGAUGACGGCCUUCGGGUUGUAAACCGCUUUCGCCUGUGACGAAGCGUGAGUGACGGUAAUGGGUAAAGAAGCACCGGCUAACUACGUG